rnacentral:rRNA from 1 species
GGGUUGUGAGGUUAAGCGACUAAGCGUACACGGUGGAUGCCCUGGCAGUCAGAGGCGAUGAAGGACGUGCUAAUCUGCGAAAAGCGUCGGUAAGGUGAUAUGAACCGUUAUAACCGGCGAUGUCCGAAUGGGGAAACCCAGUGUGAUUCGUCACACUAUCGUUAACUGAAUACAUAGGUUAACGAGGCGAACCGGGGGAACUGAAACAUCUAAGUACCCCGAGGAAAAGAAAUCAACCGAGAUUCCCCCAGUAGCGGCGAGCGAACGGGGAGCAGCCCAGAGUCUGAAUCAGCUUGUGUGUUAGUGGAACGGUCUGGAAAGUCCGACGGUACAGGGUGAUAGUCCCGUACACCAAAAUGCACAGGUUGUGAACUCGAAGAGUAGGGCGGGACACGUGGUAUCCUGUCUGAAUAUGGGGGGACCAUCCUCCAAGGCUAAAUACUCCUGACUGACCGAUAGUGAACCAGUACCGUGAGGGAAAGGCGAAAAGAACCCCGGCGAGGGGAGUGAAAAAGAACCUGAAACCGUGUACGUACAAGCAGUGGGAGCACCUUCGGGUGUGACUGCGUACCUUUUGUAUAAUGGGUCAGCGACUUAUAUUCUGUAGCAAGGUUAACCGUAUAGGGGAGCCGCAGGGAAACCGAGUCUUAACUGGGCGUUAAGUUGCAGGGUAUAGACCCGAAACCCGGUGAUCUAGCCAUGGGCAGGUUGAAGGUUGGGUAACACUAACUGGAGGACCGAACCGACUAAUGUUGAAAAAUUAGCGGAUGACUUGUGGCUGGGGGUGAAAGGCCAAUCAAACCGGGAGAUAGCUGGUUCUCCCCGAAAGCUAUUUAGGUAGCGCCUCGUGAACUCAUCUUCGGGGGUAGAGCACUGUUUCGGCUAGGGGGUCAUCCCGACUUACCAACCCGAUGCAAACUACGAAUACCGAAGAAUGUUAUCACGGGAGACACACGGCGGGUGCUAACGUCCGUCGUGAAGAGGGAAACAACCCAGACCGCCAGCUAAGGUCCCAAAGUCAUGGUUAAGUGGGAAACGAUGUGGGAAGGCACAGACAGCCAGGAUGUUGGCUUAGAAGCAGCCAUCAUUUAAAGAAAGCGUAAUAGCUCACUGGUCGAGUCGGCCUGCGCGGAAGAUGUAACGGGGCUAAACCAUGCACCGAAGCUGCGGCAGCGACACUAUGUGUUGUUGGGUAGGGGAGCGUUCUGUAAGCCUGCGAAGGUGUGCUGUGAGGCAUGCUGGAGGUAUCAGAAGUGCGAAUGCUGACAUAAGUAACGAUAAAGCGGGUGAAAAGCCCGCUCGCCGGAAGACCAAGGGUUCCUGUCCAACGUUAAUCGGGGCAGGGUGAGUCGACCCCUAAGGCGAGGCCGAAAGGCGUAGUCGAUGGGAAACAGGUUAAUAUUCCUGUACUUGGUGUUACUGCGAAGGGGGGACGGAGAAGGCUAUGUUAGCCGGGCGACGGUUGUCCCGGUUUAAGCAUGUAGGCUGGUUAUCCAGGCAAAUCCGGAUAAUCAAGGCUGAGGUGUGAUGACGAGGCACUACGGUGCUGAAGUAACAAAUGCCCUGCUUCCAGGAAAAGCCUCUAAGCAUCAGGUAACAUCAAAUCGUACCCCAAACCGACACAGGUGGUCAGGUAGAGAAUACCAAGGCGCUUGAGAGAACUCGGGUGAAGGAACUAGGCAAAAUGGUGCCGUAACUUCGGGAGAAGGCACGCUGGUGUGUAGGUGAAGUCCCUGCGGAUGGAGCUGAGACCAGUCGAAGAUACCAGCUGGCUGCAACUGUUUAUUAAAAACACAGCACUGUGCAAACACGAAAGUGGACGUAUACGGUGUGACGCCUGCCCGGUGCCGGAAGGUUAAUUGAUGGGGUUAUCCGUAAGGAGAAGCUCUUGAUCGAAGCCCCGGUAAACGGCGGCCGUAACUAUAACGGUCCUAAGGUAGCGAAAUUCCUUGUCGGGUAAGUUCCGACCUGCACGAAUGGCGUAAUGAUGGCCAGGCUGUCUCCACCCGAGACUCAGUGAAAUUGAACUCGCUGUGAAGAUGCAGUGUACCCGCGGCAAGACGGAAAGACCCCGUGAACCUUUACUAUAGCUUGACACUGAACAUUGAGCCUUGAUGUGUAGGAUAGGUGGGAGGCUUUGAAGCGUGGACGCCAGUCUGCGUGGAGCCAACCUUGAAAUACCACCCUUUAAUGUUUGAUGUUCUAACGUUGGCCCCUUAUCGGGGUUGCGGACAGUGUCUGGUGGGUAGUUUGACUGGGGCGGUCUCCUCCCAAAGCGUAACGGAGGAGCACGAAGGUUAGCUAAUCCUGGUCGGACAUCAGGAGGUUAGUGCAAUGGCAUAAGCUAGCUUGACUGCGAGCGUGACGGCGCGAGCAGGUGCGAAAGCAGGUCAUAGUGAUCCGGUGGUUCUGAAUGGAAGGGCCAUCGCUCAACGGAUAAAAGGUACUCCGGGGAUAACAGGCUGAUACCGCCCAAGAGUUCAUAUCGACGGCGGUGUUUGGCACCUCGAUGUCGGCUCAUCACAUCCUGGGGCUGAAGUAGGUCCCAAGGGUAUGGCUGUUCGCCAUUUAAAGUGGUACGCGAGCUGGGUUUAGAACGUCGUGAGACAGUUCGGUCCCUAUCUGCCGUGGGCGCUGGAGAAUUGAGGGGGGCUGCUCCUAGUACGAGAGGACCGGAGUGGACGCAUCACUGGUGUUCGGGUUGUCAUGCCAAUGGCACUGCCCGGUAGCUAAAUGCGGAAGAGAUAAGUGCUGAAAGCAUCUAAGCACGAAACUUGCCCCGAGAUGAGUUCUCCCUGAGACUUUAAGUCUCCUGAAGGAACGUUGAAGACGACGACGUUGAUAGGCCGGGUGUGUAAGCGCAGCGAUGCGUUGAGCUAACCGGUACUAAUGAACCGUGAGGCUUAACCUUACAACGCCGAAG